GACGAACGCUGGCGGCGUGCUUAACACAUGCAAGUCGAACGGAAAGGCCCUGCUUUUGUGGGGUGCUCGAGUGGCGAACGGGUGAGUAACACGUGAGUAACCUGCCCUUGACUUUGGGAUAACUUCAGGAAACUGGGGCUAAUACCGGAUAGGAGCUCCUGCUGCAUGGUGGGGGUUGGAAAGUUUCGGCGGUUGGGGAUGGACUCGCGGCUUAUCAGCUUGUUGGUGGGGUAGUGGCUUACCAAGGCUUUGACGGGUAGCCGGCCUGAGAGGGUGACCGGCCACCUUGGGACUGCGGUACGGCCCAGACUCCUACGGGGGGCAGAAGUGGGGAAUAUUGCGCAAUGGGCGGAAGCCUGAUGCAGCAACGCCGCGUGCGGGAUGACGGCCUUCGGGUUGUAAACCGCUUUCGCCUGUGACGAAGCGUGAGUGACGGUAAUGGGUAAAGAAGCACCGGCUAACUACGUG
rnacentral:rRNA from 1 species